rnacentral:lncRNA from 1 species
CAGAUGGUACCUUGGAUUGUUGACACAGAAAGGAGAGUCCUUCUGCUUGUGAAACACCUUAUAUUUCACACCAAAUUAUUAGGAAAUUUUUAACACCAAGUGUUGGCAUCUCUUGGAUAUGUAUGGCGCCCCUUCUUAUCUUAUAAAUAAGGGGGUGCUACACCUAGUUUCGCAUCCCAUAUCUAGCUGAGUUUAGGCAUGGGA